UUAGUAUGAAAGAGCUAAUAUGAGCAGAGUGAUAACUAGAUGUUGCACAAGUUAUUUACAUACAUUAAUAGUUGCUAGAGUCAUGUAAGUAAAAUUGCAGUAGUUUAUGAGUCCGUGAAAUGGCGGGUGAAAUACUGAUUACUGGAUUAUCUAUAAUGUCACCUGUUGCAUUUAUAAAGAUUACUCAGAAGAAACAGGACUCACAGAAAAUACAUAUUUAAAAUUCACCUUUUCAAGAGUAAGCAAUUUGCUGCCAGGCUACAUUACUUAAGUUUUUAUGUUAAUACUCUAUUUAACUUAAUCAGCUCAUAAUCAAUUUUUACCUUGUUUGCACAAGUUGAUUUAUCAAAAUAAAAAUAAUUUUUUCUUAAAGCAGAAGAUAGUGAAAUAAAGAUAGACAGGCAUACUGAAGACUCAAAUGCAUUUUAUUGCAUUAAAAGUAGAUUAUAAUACAUACAAACAUUUUUUUGUUCAAUGUAAAAUACAACUUCUGAUUAAAACAUUAAGGCAACUGCAAUAUAUUUGGGAAGAUAACAUGAAUUUCUGUGCUUAUUCAUAAUAACCUGAAUUACCAUACUUUAUAUAGUUUUCUUAUUCCACAAGUUCCUGAUAGCUGAUGAAGAACACCUACAGAGUGAAAUGUUCCCAUCAAUGAAGGACCAAAUUCUGCUCACACUGAAGUGAAUGGCAGACUCUGAAUUUGCACAGAAAUAUAACUGGAACCCAGUGGGUCUUUUUGCAAAACAGAUUUGGAAAAGGAUAUGGAUAGUUUAGGGAUGGAGCUGUAUAUCAUAACUUUUAUUUCACAGCAAUCCUGAAUUCCUUAUAAACUACUAACUUCACUGAAAAAUGAAAAUGCAUGAUGAAUGCGCUCAAUCCCUACCAUCCUUAAUUUAUAACAUAAACAUUCCCAUAGGACAACAGAAAUCUUAUCUUCCAUAUACCAACAUGCUGACUGAACAAUAUCCUAGAAAAAUAAUCAGUUAAGAUCAGAGGCUGUAUAAUCUCAAAUUCCAGGUUCUAUUUUCAACUGCCUUAGCUCAGAGGUUGUCACACAAGGCUGUGUUCCAACACUUCUGAAAAUUGUUCAAGGCAUAUCAUUAUAUCUUCCAGAUUCAUGUUAAACAUAUUUCCAACAUGACUUACAAUAUCCUAUUAUUUAAGAUGCAGUGUUAUACACAACAUAGCAGUGUAAUCUUGCACUCCCUAUUAAGCAGCGUGUAAUGCACAAGAAAUGUGUUUUGCUUUGUAAAGGAAACAUUUUAAACCACCUGCUUUUGAGACAGCAUUGGCAGCUUUAAUGAGAAUUGUUUUUUUUAUCAUGUCUAUACACAUUGUAGAGAGAAUUCAAAAGAACGGCUUGUCUAAUAGUCAGACUACCCUGCAGUUUGGGUUAUUAAAAAGGAGAUUGUAAAAGCUAUAUAGGACAGCAGGAGAUUUGGUUCACGUCUAGUGUUCCUUUAGCUCUGAACAAUCUAUCUCAGGAGGCAAUAAGGAGAUAGAUGAAGCUUUUCCACAAUUUUCUCUCUCCCUUUCUCUCUGCUAAUUCUAACACCUUCACUGUGAAACUGCAUUAACAAACAGGCUUAUAUCCUUCAUUCCCCAGCUUCAAAUUCUCAGCAUUUGCUGGAAACACACCAAUUUAGCUGCAGAAAAUAAUUCCCCAAACUUGAUGUACGUGUUUGCAUUUGGUUUAAUAAACUUACACAGAAUGGCAUGCAGACAAUUGCCUCUUGGAAGACUUGCUUUGUUGCACUUCAAAUUUUAAAGGCAGGAGUAUAUUACUUGAGAAAUAGUAAAGACAGUACAUAGACAAGUGUCAGAGCAGAAGGCACCUAGUACAAUUUUGAUCUUCUGAGAUGAUGUACAGUAGGUCAUGGAAAAGCAGAAGCUUAUUCCUGAGUGGUUUUCAAAAACCUCCACAAAUUUAAACCUUUUCCACUAGGUCUUAAAAUCCACAUCUGUUUGUUUUAUUUUGUUUCAUUUUCCUGACAGGAGUGGAAAAAUACACUCUCUCUUCUUUCUCAAACUUGAACUAGUAAAUAGCAGAAACUUAAUCUCAGUGGCGCUCCUGCUUAUUUACAUAGUCAGGGGAAGGUCCGAGAACAAACCAAAUAAAACACAGCUGCACCAAACAAUAACAUCCUUCUUCAUUUCAAGCUGCUGAGUUGGUUCAAUGUGGAAAAUUACCAAGAUGCUACUAAUAAUUCAUUUAGAACUUUCACUCUAAACUCUUAGACGUGUUUUCAGAUCUAAGACAAAUUUUGAAUGCAUUUUUGAUACCUAAAAUAGUAAAUUCAAUAUAAAUGUAAAUUCGAAGCAAAUCCUAGAGCUGGGCUAUAGUUUUAAGCCUGUCCAUCAGCUGUUUUGCCAUUGCAGUGAACGGCUCUGCUGUGACCUGAAGUUCUGGUUGCCUCCCAUGGACGAAGUUUUAUGCUAAGACAGAGCCAAGAGGCUAAAAAGCAAUAGGUGGAAAGGCAAGCAGGGAAGCCGGCCUGGAGCACGACUUACUUGUGGACAGUCAACGUGGGACAAAAUUUUCCUUAUUCCUCCAGCAAGUGAUCUGUGUAGGACUUGCCCUUGGCAGCUGGACUUGACUGAACAGGCAUCAGUGGGACAAAAGAGAAGCAAAAACAGGAGCAGCAGUGAUCAGGGAGAUAGGUAGGAGAAUAAACUAAGGAGUAAUGAUUAUAAAUGUGGAGCAAACUUCAGCAUUAAAAUAUUGUGGAUCUGAGGAGGAGAAACAUUUUCAGGUUUUAUGAUUGUCUAGAUACGAGGAUCACAAUUGUUCCCUGUGGUAACACAAAUGAAUUCUACUGUAAAAGGUAUUUGAUAAGGUCUUUCAUGGUCUUUGGAACAGUCUAUACUAUACAGAGGUUUCCUCUAUCAUCUAUUAUUUUAUUAUCUUCCUUUCUGAAUUUAAAUUACUCUGUAUCUCAGAUUCUGAAAUACUUCAGAGAGGCGUUCAGUAUUCCGAGGAGUGAACAAUCCAAGAUAACUUCAGCGCAUCUUUGCAUUUCCAAUGACACAGGGCAUCCCACAACAGGUCAUAUCUGCUGCAAACUGCAGCAGCUAAACUCGUCUUUGUUACUCGUGCACAAAGCUUCAAAUCUUAAGGGAUGUCUUGAAUUGUAUCAUCUGUCAAUAGUUCCAAUGGAUUAAUAAAACCUUUGGUGGCACCCGAGGCUUCUGGCCAUAUACCAGGUUCAGCACAUGUAAAAGCAUAGUUAUGAUAUCUUUACGUUACCAUCUGGGAUUUUUUUUAGCUGAAGAUGUAUUCCGUGAUUUGAUAUUAAUAUUUAAAAAUUCCUUUCCACCUUAAUUUUGCUGGUAAAUCCCAACUGCACAAGUAUUCAUAGGAAGUGAUUUUAAGCAUUUUGAAGACCACACAAUGCUGCUUCAUUUCAAAACACAAAUGCUAUUUUGCAGAACCAACUACAUUUGCAUCCACUUUUACUUACAACAGUCUCUGCUUCGAACUAAGAGCCCUAAGAUGUUUUAUGUCUCUAAAAAGAAAUCCAUUUCUAAAAUACGCUACAAUGCAAACACGAAUGCAGCCUGUGGAACAGAAACCAUUAAUGGAAAGGCUCUGACCCAGGAUGAGCACUGCAUCGGUGUGACACACCAAUUGUAAACAUGAUCAGACAAAUCCUCAAGAGAUGCCUCACAGAACUUCCCAUCUCUUCUUUCACAUUUCAAGUUAGCAAAGGGAAGCCUUGUGUCAAAUACGGCGUAUUUUCUCUCUCUGUACUAAGUAAAGAUUUUGAAACACGUCCUGCUUUGGGGUAUUUCCAUAAACACUUGGUGAAGGGAAGGGAUUUACCUGUAUUUAAUUCAAGAAAUUAACUACAUGCAUCAAACAAACAAACAAACAAACAAAAAAAAAAAAAAAACACCACCCACAGAUGGAUGAAAUUAUAAUAGAGAAGUCUGCAAUCCUGAAUACAGACCCUUAAGAAGGGUCCAGCUCCAGGGGGUUCAGUAUCCCUUCACCUGAGAGCAGCCACAGCUGUGGAAGCUCCAGAAAGCAGCUACAAAUUCAACCCAAUUGAGAUGCAAAACCUUUCCUGAGAUCGCCAACAAAUAUUCUGAUGGGGUCACAGUCCCACCCCACAUUAAUAUGAGAUUACAAGUGUUGCGCUACACGGGUAAGGAUUUCCAGAUGCUACAAGCUGUGUAAAUAUAUCACUCCCAGAUCAGAGAGUUCCUCAGUGCCAUUCUCACAUUUACCUCUAUUUGAUAUUAUAUUUUGUACACAAACCCUUAGAACCAAAUUAGUAAAAAAUACAAUAUUUAAAUACAGUAUUCAACGCAGUAUAGCGCAAAUUAGUGGAAGCUGAACUAAACUGAGUAGAUACUACAAAAUUCAUUUAAGUUGUCAUGCAUUUUUCAGCUUCACUUUAUUUUUGUUCUUUCCCAUUAGUGGGAAUAUUCACUAAUGCUAACUCAUUAUUAAUUAGUAUAUUCAUGAUCAAAAGAUCCCUUUAAAUAAUUUCCACAACCUAGUUUGCCAAAAUAGGAAGACUUCUGAUCAUGAUUUUCUAUUAAGCUGUUUUUGAAUUAGACAAAUUAAACCUAUGAGAAGAAGAGGGUCACUUAAGUCUUAUUAUCUUCCAUUUACUCCUAUCAAUAAAUCAUUUUCUUAAAAUAGUUCUACUUCUUAGCUGAAGUAAUUGUUUAUAUUACCAGAAGUUGGCUACAAUUUUUUAAUGUGGACUAUAGCUGUCUGACAUUUUGCACAGUAAGUAGGUAACGAAAUCGUGAUUUUACCCAUAACAGAAAGAAUGGGUAACUCUGUCACUUAUGUGUAAAGUUUUAGACAGCUAAGUAAUACAGAUUUAAAUUAAAAAUGACAGAUGCACUGGUUUGGAAUAUAAUGGGCACUGAAGUGAACUUUUAUUCCUUUUAGCAGCUUACGGUUAACUCUUAAAUGGACCACAUAUUAUACUCACUUUUGAGUACUGUAACUAUUCAGCUAAAUGAUCAGAUGGUUAUUCUGUUGAUGGCAGUCGUGUGCUUCAGGACAUGAAGAUUUUUUGACCUACUGUAGAAAUUCAGCUGAACUCAUGUUAAUCAGAGGUCAUACCGGGGAAAAAAAUAUCCCAGAUGUUUCUCAUUUGAGAUCUUCAGUAUUGAAAUCUGCAUAUUGUAUAACAUAAAGUCAAGGGGAUUUAGCUUGCUUUGAUUAACACUUUGUAAAACAUUCACAUGCUUCCCCAUCUGAUCCCUCUAAUAGAGUAUACUAGAACCUACCCAAAGGCCUCUGAAACUGUGUUCUUUUAUUGUCUCUUGCAAGUGAAAAAUUAAGCUAUAGAAUUAGUGACAAAGUUCAUUACCUGAUAUAUAUUUGUGUCUAACCCUUGGUUCACUGAGGUUAACCAUGAGAAAAGUAAAUUGGAUUUUGUUCGCUACCUUUAAUAUAAUUAUACUAUCAACAAUAAUACUAUCUUUAAUGCUAGCUCAUCACCUAAGGCAAGCUUUCACAUAGGAUUCACAAGAAAGAUACCAUUUAUUUGUUUUCCUAUUCUUGGGACAUUAGAAAAUCAAGGUAAGAAAAGCUAAAAUACAGUUAUUACCAUCUCUUGAGAAAGGACUCUGAAAACAAGGAGGCUUGAAUGAACUCAGAUUUGUCUAUGAAUUGUUUUUCUAUCUGGAUACCAUACAAUAACAGUUUCAAAGCAUACAAAACUCUUGUUGUAGAGCUAGAUCAAUAACUAGCUCUUCAACAAGAUGAACUUCAAAAAACCCAACCAACCAAACUUCCUUGUGGCACAAAAAAAAAAAGAGCAAAUGCAUUUCUUACUUGAUCAGAUUCUGGUCUCAAUUCCAUCAAGCUAAUUGAGAUCCAAUUCCAACUCAUCCUAAAAUCUACAGGCGUAUAAAUAUAAUUUGUUAAUCACAAACCUGACAUCUCUAACUCAACUUUGGAAGUGCUCUUGAAUGGUGUUACUAUGCUUUCCAGAACUGUAGAGUGCACACUACAUUUCGAGUGCAAUAUUGGCAUUAUAGGGAUCUAUCAACUUGAGAGUCCAUUUCCUGUGAUGUAGCAUUCUGUACAUCUGUGACUUUACUUGUAUUUGUUCCAAAAUGAAUUUCAUGCAUAACUUGUUUUUCUUAAUUAAACUUCCUUUAGCAGUUUUUAAUACGUGCAUUAUUAAAACUCAUUAGUCCCAUUCA